CCCUUAGAUGUUCUGGGCCGCACGCGCGCUACACUGAUGCAUUCAACGAGCCUAUCCUUGACCGACAGGUCCGGGUAAUCUUUGAAUCUGCAUCGUGACGGGGAUAGAUUAUUGCAAUUAUUAAUCUUCAACGAGGAAUGCCUAGUAGGCGCAAGUCAUCAGCUUGCGUCGAUUACGUCCCUGCCCUUUGUACACACCGCCCGUCGCUCCUACCGAUUGGGUGUGCUGGUGAAAUGUUCGGAUCGGCCGUUUGUCGCGGUUUCCGCGUCAUGUGGCUGAGAAGUUCAUUAAACCCUCCCACCUAGAGGAAGGAGAAGUCGUAAC
rnacentral:rRNA from 1 species